rnacentral:tRNA from 2 species
ACUUGAAUAGUUUAAAUAAAAUAUUGAUUUGUGGGGUCAAUGAUACAUUUCCUGUUUCAGGUA